UUGGUCCUACGGGGCGCAGCAGUGAGGAAUAUUGGUCAAUGGGAGAGAUCCUGAACCAGCCAAGCCGCGUGAGGGAAGACGGCCCUAUGGGUUGUAAACCCCUUUUGUCGGAGAACAAAACCCGGGACGUGUCCCGGACUGCGUGUAUCCGAAGAAAAAGCAUCGGCUAACUCCGUGCCAGCAGCCGCGGUAAUACGGAGGAUGCGAGCGUUACCCGGAUUUAUUGGGUUUAAAGGGUGCGUAGGCGGUCCGUUAAGUCAGCGGUAAAAUUGCGGCGCUCAACCCUGUCGAGCCGUUGAAACUGG
rnacentral:rRNA from 1 species